UGCUGUUGGUCUAGAGUCUAGUAGGUGGAGUGCUGUUGGUCUAGAGUCUAGUAGGUGGAGUGCUGUUGGUCUAGAGUCUAGUAGGUGGAGUGCUGUUGGUCUAGAGUCUAGUAGGUGGAGUGCUGUUGGUCUAGAGUCUAGUAGGUGGAGUGCUGUUGGUGUAGAGUCUAGUAGGUGGAGGGCUGUUGGUCUAGAGUCUAGUAGGUGGAGUGCUGUUGGUCUAGAGUCCAGUAGGUGGAGUGCUGUUGGUCUGGAGUCUAGUAGGUGGAGUGCUGUUGGUCUGGAGUCUAGUAGGUGGAGGGCUGUUGGUCUAGAGUCUAGUAGGUGGAGUGCUGUUGGUCUAGAGUCCAGUAGGUGGAGUGCUGUUGGUCUAGAGUCUAGUAGGUGGAGUGCUGUUGGUCUAGAGUCUAGUAGGUGGAGUGCUGUUGGUCUAGAGUCUAGUAGGUGGAGUGCUGUUGGUCUAGAGUCUAGUAGGUGGAGGGCUGUUGGUCUAGAGUCUAGUAGGUGGAGUGCUGUUGGUCUAGAGUCCAGUAGGUGGAGUGCUGUUGGUCUAGAGUCUAGUAGGUGGAGUGCUGUUGGUCUAGAGUCUAGUAGGUGGAGGGCUGUUGGUCUAGAGUCUAGUAGGUGGAGUGCUGUUGGUCUAGAGUCUAGUAGGUGGAGUGCUGUUGGUCUAGAGUCUAGUAGGUGGAGUGCUGUUGGUCUAGAGUCUAGUAGGUGGAGUGCUGUUGGUCUAGAGUCUAGUAGGUGGAGUGCUGUUGGUCUAGAGUCUAGUAGGUGGAGUGCUGUUGGUCUAGAGUCUAGUAGGUGGAGUGCUGUUGGUCUAGAGUCUAGUAGG